rnacentral:lncRNA from 1 species
GCCACCCCACACAUCCCAGGUCCUCAUGUCACUUCAUUUGUGCCCCAUUCCCCUGUGCCACCCCAUGUGCCCCAAAUCCCUGUGCCACCCCAUGUGUCCCAAAUCCCUGUGCCACCCCACGUGGCAACCAGCGCGUCCCAAGUCCCUGUGCCACCUCCUGUGCCCCAAAUCCCUGUGCCACCCCAUGUGCCCAUGUCCAUGGGUCCCACGUCCCCACAUCACCUCCUGUGCCCCAAAUCCCUGUGCCACCCCAUGUGCCCCAAAUCCCUGUGCCAUCCCAAGUGGCAACCAGCGCGUCCCAAGUCCCUGUGCCACCCCAUGUGCCACCCCACACAUCCCAGGUCCUCAUGUCACUUCAUUUGUGCCCCAAAUCCCUGUGCCACCUCCUGUGCCCCAAAUCUCUUUGCGAUCCCAUGUGCCCAUGUCCAUGGGUCCCACGUCCCCACAUCACCUCCUGUGCCCCACAUCCCUGUGCCACCCCAUGUGCCCCAUUCCCCUGUGCCAUCCCAAGUGGCAACCAGCGCGUCCCAAGUCCCUGUGCCACCCCAUGUGCCACCCCACACAUCCCAGGUCCCUGUGCCGCUUCCUGUGCCCCAAAUCCCUGUGCCACCCCGUGCCACCCCACACGUCUCAGGUCCUCACGCCACCUCAUUUGUGCCCCAAAUCCC